GGCCCCGUGGUGAGUUCCAUGUUGGGUUGCAAACCCAAAGACGCAGAUUACCAGUUUGCCCGGGCUU
rnacentral:tRNA from 1 species